rnacentral:rRNA from 1 species
GGNUACUAAGCAACAACUGACGCUGAUGGACGAAAGCGUGGGGAGCGAACAGGAUUAGAUACCNUGGUAGNCCACGCCGUAAACGAUGCUAACUCGUUUUUGGAAUGUAAGUUUCAGAGACUAAGCGAAAGUGAUAAGUUAGCCACCUGGGGAGUACGAACGCAAGUUUGAAACUCAAAGGAAUUGACGGGGGCCCGCACAAGCGGUGGAUUAUGUGGUUUAAUUCGAUGAUACGCGAGGAACCUUACCAAGGCUUAAAUGGGAAAUGACAGGUUUAGAAAUAGACUUUUCUUCGGACAUUUUUCAAGGUGCUGCAUGGUUGUCGUCAGCUCGUGCCGUGAGGUGUUAGGUUAAGUCCUGCAACGAGCGCAACCCCUGUCACUAGUUGCCAUCAUUAAGUUGGGGACUCUAGUGAGACUGCCUACGCAAGUAGAGAGGAAGGUGGGGAUGACGUCAAAUCAUCACGGCCCUUACGCCUUGGGCCACACACGUAAUACAAUGGCCGGUACAGAGGGCAGCUACACUGCGAAGUGAUGCAAAUCUCGAAAGCCGGUCUCAGUUCGGAUUGGAGUCUGCAACUCGACUCUAUGAAGCUGGAAUCGCUAGUAAUCGCGCAUCAGCCAUGGCGCGGUGAAUACGUUCCCGGGCCUUGUACACACCGCCCGUCAAGCCAUGGAAGUCUGGGGUACCUGAAGUCGGUGACCGUAACAGGAGCUGCCUAGGGUAAAACAGGUAACUAGGGCU